rnacentral:rRNA from 1 species
AUUGAACGCUGGCGGCAGGCCUAACACAUGCAAGUCGAACGAGUGGCGGACGGGUGAGUAAUGUCUGGGAAACUGCCCGAUGGAUGGGGAUAACUACUGGAAACGGUAGCUAAUACCGCAUACCAUCGGAUUUCCCCAGAUGGGAUUAGCUAGUCGGUGGGUUAACGGCUCACCUAGGCGACUAUCCCUAGCUGGUCUGAGAGGAUGACCAGCCACACUGGAACUGAGAGACGGUCCAGACUCCUACGGGAGGCAGCAGUGGGGAAUAUUGCACAAUGGGCGCAAGCCUGAUGGAGCCAUGCCGAGUGUAUGAAGAAGGCCUUCGGGUUGUAAAGUACUUUCAGCGAGGAGGCGUUACUCGCAGAAGAAGCACCGGCUAACUCCGUGCCAGCAGCCGCGGUAAUUC